AGUGAACGCUGGCGGUAGGCCUAACACAUGCAAGUCGAACGGCAGCACAGUAAGAGCUUGCUCUUACGGGUGGCGAGUGGCGGACGGGUGAGGAAUACAUCGGAAUCUACUUUUUCGUGGGGGAUAACGUAGGGAAACUUACGCUAAUACCGCAUACGACCUACGGGUGAAAGCAGGGGAUCUUCGUACCUUGCGCGAUUGAAUGAGCCGAUGUCGUAUUAGCUAGUUGGCGGGGUAAAGGCCCACCAAGGCGACGAUCCGUAGCUGGUCUGAGAGGAUGAUCAGCCACACUGGAACUGAGACACGGUCCAGACUCCUACGGGAGGCAGCAGUGGGGAAUAUUGGACAAUGGGCGCAAGCCUGAUCCAGCCAUACCGCGUGGGUGAAGAAGGCCUUCGGGUUGUAAAGCCCUUUUGUUGGGAAAGAAAAGCAGCAGGUUAAUACCCCGCUGUUCUGACGGUACCCAAAGAAUAAGCACCGGCUAACUUCGUG
rnacentral:rRNA from 1 species